rnacentral:rRNA from 1 species
AUUGAACGCUGGCGGCGUGCUUAACACAUGCAAGUCGUGCGGUAACAGGCGUAGCAAUACGUGCUGACGAGCGGCGAACGGGUGCGUAAUACAUGGGAAUCUGCCCUUUGGUGGGGAAUAACCCGGCGAAAGCCGGGCUAAUGCCGCAUAAGAUCUUCGGAUGAAAGCGGGGGAUCGUAAGACCUCGCGCCGAUGGAUGAGCCCAUGUCGGAUUAGCUAGUUGGGAGGUAACGGCUCACCAAGGCGACGAUCCGUAGCUGGUCUGAGAGGACGGCCAGCCACACUGGGACUGAGACACGGCCCAGACUCCUACGGGAGGCAGCAGUGGGGAAUAUUGGACAAUGGGCGAAAGCCUGAUCCAGCGACGCCGCGUGUGUGAAGAAGGCCUGCGGGUUGUAAAGCACUUUCGAUGGGAACG